AAAAAAAAAAUCCCCAUGAAGUAUGUAUUCUUAUUAUCCUCAUUUUACUAGAGGGGAAACUAAAGAUCAGAGAAGUUAGGUCACUUGCCGAAGAUCACUCAGCAAACAACCGGUGAUCUGAAAUUCCUCUCAGGUCUGUGUCCUUGACAAGAGCUGUGAAUUGCCCCUGAAACUGUCUUAAAACUGCCUUGGAAUUGGAGCAUUUGUACAGCUCCUCUUGGAGUUCCUGGGGCAGAGUGGCCCAGGUCAGUCCAAGGGGGAGGGAAGUUUACACAUGUCCCAAAGCAGGAAACACCGGUUAAUCCCCAACUCCUGCUCUAGAAGACAGGGCUUUUUCUCCAGUGGCCACUAGGGUGCAGUAUGUAUCCCUAAACCUGGAGCCUGGGGGUGGGGUGGAGGAACGCUUACACUUUGCCUCAGGAAAGCUCUCUUUAUUUAAAACUCUUCAGUAGAGUUUAUAACCAAUAUUUUCAAAAUUUGUCACAUUUUCAUUUUUUUAAUAUUAUUUUCUCUCUGCUAGUUGAUAUACACAGUAUGGGCACCAGGGGAAAAAAAAAACGCACACAGUUCGGAAGGAAAUUCAAGGCAGAGAGGGAAAGCCGUUGCAAAGGCUCUGAGGUGGCAGCGCGCUAUACAACUUGAAGGAACAGCAAGGCCGUCAGGCUGUAGGGGAGUGAUUGAUGGGGGAAGUAGCAGGGCUCAGAACAGUAACAAAGGGAACCUGAUAGGGUGGGCCUUUGUAGGCCAUGGGAAGGUUUAAGGCAAAGGAGUGAAUGAUGAAGCUAGCUUUUGUUGUUACUGUUGCUGUUGUUUUUGAGACUAGUCUCGCUCUGUCCCCCAGACUGGAGUGCAAUGGUAUGAUCUCAGCUCACUGCAACCUCCGCCUCCUGGGUUCCAGCGAUUCUCCUGUGUCAGCCUCCCGAGUAGCUCAGAUUACAGGCCUGCACCACCACGCCCGGCUAGUUUUGUAUUUUUAGUAGAGGCGAGGUUUCACCAUGUUGGCCAUUCUGGUCUCAACCUCAUGACCUCAGGUAAUCCGCCUGCCUUGUCUUCCCAAAGUGCUGGGAUUACAGGUUUGAGCCACCGCACCCAGCCCCCUAGCUCAUUUUUUAAAGGGUAAUGCCAGCUGCUGUACUGAGACUAGACCACAGGGCUGAGUGGGAACAAGGGAAGAGGCUGGAAGACCAGAAGGCCCCUGCUAUAGUCUGAAAGAGGCAGCACUGGCUGGAACCAAGAUAUACCUACAUACUGGCCAGGCGGUGGAGCUCACGCCUGUAAUCCUAACAAUUUAGGAGGCGGAAGCGGGUGGAUCACCUGAGGUCAAGAGUUUGAGACCAGCCUGGCCAACAUGGCGAAACCUGGUCUCUACUAAAAAUACAAAAAUUAGCCAGGCGUGGUGGCGCAUGCCUGUAAUCCCAGCUACUUGAAAGGCUGAGGAAGGAGAAUUGCUUGAACCCAGGAGGCAGAGGUUUCAGUGAGCCGAGAUCACACCACUGGCACUCCAGCCUGCAUGACGGGAGAGAGACUCCAUAAAAAAAAAAAAUAUAUAUAUAUAUAUAUAUAUAUAUAAUAUAUAUAUCUCAUACAAACAAUAUGUAUCACAUUUAUAUGUUAUCAAGCACGAUCAUGUAAUAAACCCGCAAAUGUCCAAACCCAAAA